rnacentral:rRNA from 1 species
GCUUACGGCCACACUGCCUGGUUCACGCCCGAUCUCGUUUGAUCUCGGAAGCUAAGAUAGGUUGGGCCUGGUUAGUACUUGGAUGGUUGACCGCCUGUGAAUACCAGGUGCUGUAAGCU